CCUACCUAUAAGACUGGGAUAACUUCGGGAAACCGGAGCUAAUACCGGAUAACAUUUGGAACCGCAUGGUUCUAAAGUGAAAGAUGGUUUUGCUAUCACUUAUAGAUGGACCCGCGCCGUAUUAGCUAGUUGGUAAGGUAACGGCUUACCAAGGCNACGAUACGUAGCCGACCUGAGAGGGUGAUCGGCCACACUGGAACUGAGACACGGUCCAGACUCCUACGGGAGGCAGCAGUAGGGAAUCUUCCGCAAUGGGCGAAAGCCUGACGGAGCAACGCCGCGUGAGUGAUGAAGGGUUUCGGCUCGUAAAAACUCUGUUAUUACGGGAAGAACAAACACGUGUAAGUAACUGUGCAUGUCUUGACGGUACCUAAUCAGAAAGCCACGGCUAACUACGUGCCAGCAGCCGCGGUACAUACGUAGGUGGCAAGCGUNAUCCGGGAAUUAUUGGGCCGUAAAAGCGCCGCGUUAGGCGGGUNACAUUAAGUCCUGAUUGUGAACAGGCCCGCGGGUCCACCCGGUGNGACGGGUCAUCUGGGAAACACUGGGGGACAACCUUGACNUUGCGACAGNAGGAAAGUGG
rnacentral:rRNA from 1 species